GGAACCGUAGCUCAGCGGCAGAGCGUUCGGCUUACAUCCGAAAGGUCGGAGGUUCAAAUCCUCCCGGUUCCA
rnacentral:tRNA from 1 species